GUGGGGAAUCUUAGACAAUGGGGGCAACCCUGAUCUAGCCAUGUCGCGUGAGUGAUGAAGGCCUUAGGGUCGUAAAGCUCUUUCGCUGGGGAAGAUAAUGACGGUACCCAGUAAAGAAACCCCGGCUAACUCCGUGCCAGCAGCCGCGGUAAUACGGAGGGGGUUAGCGUUGUUCGGAAUUACUGGGCGUAAAGCGCGCGUAGGCGGAUUGGAAAGUUGGGGGUGAAAUCCCGGGGCUCAACCCUGGAAUGGCCUUCAAAACUCCCAGUCUUGAGGUCGAGAGAGGUGAGUGGAAUUCCGAGUGUAGAGGUGAAAUUCGUAGAUAUUCGGAGGAACACCAGUGGCGAAGGCGGCUCACUGGCUCGAUACUGACGCUGAGGUGCGAAAGCGUGGGGAGCAAACAGGAUUAGAUACCCGAGUAGUCC
rnacentral:rRNA from 1 species